UCCAACUUCAAAUAAACCCAAUAGAUCAGUAACUGAACUCAUUUGAUCAUGUCAAUGUGUGUGUUGUUUUGGGUUUUGAGAAUAUGAAAAUAUACAUAUUAAUGUCACUGAUGGAAUGAUAAGGUUUAGAGGGUCUACACCAGAAGUGAAUGGUUAUAGGAGGAAGGUAUAUAGUGUGAGCAAUUAAGCUUGGAAUGUGUUUAGUGCAGGGAAGUAAUUACAUGUGGAAGGCAUUGAUAAGGGGAGAGAGCCAUGGAUUAGUGAUGGAGGGGGGUUGAGGUCAGGUCAGGUCACUUUAGGGAGAAGUAAAAGUAUAUGGCCCGUAUCACUAGUGUCCUGCCUAGCAGUAAAGAACGAUGUUUGUACAGAUAUGGAGAAGGAGACUCAGCCUAUGAGGAACAGUUAAAUAUCAGUGCUUGUGUGAAACUGUUUUUGUCUAAUGCAGCUGUAUUGAUCCUCUGGGAAGAAUAAACAAGGUUAAGCUUUCAUAAUGUCUUUUCAGUUUUUUUACUCUGAGAAUUAGAACCUAACAGUUGUUAGGGUGAUGUUGCUUUUAAGCUUCUGCAUAUUUAGUUUUGGUUUUGUUUAUUUGUGUGUGUAUAGUUUAAAGUAACUCUGAAAAGUCAACAAGUUUAUUUGAUCAAUUAAUCACAUGAGUUCUCAUAUUUGAAAUAGCUGUGCUGUAGUUACCUAUAUUUUCAGGAAGUUUAAUGUAGGGUGGACCACAUGGACAGCUCCUUAGUGGUCAAUGAAAAUAAGGACAUUUUCUUCAGCGUCACUAAUGAUCUGUCACAACAUCAGACGUGAGUCUCCAUAUCCUCCUCUGUAGGUUUUUCUGUGUCCUACCAAGCACACAUCAGUUUUCUCACAUGACAAUCUUUGUGUGGAGUUCACUUCACUGACGGAAGAACGUGGAAAAUAUGUCUUUGUCUUAUAUUCUUCUCAUUUAUGUUGCCGGAGUUGCGGUAAAAGAAAGUUGUGCAGAUUCGGUUCCCACUCCCACUAUUGUAUUUUCCUCUGGGUACAUCAAUGUAGCUACACCUGUUACAGUACGCUGUGAGUCACCAGAAGGCACAGAGUGCAAUUUCUACAGAGAUCAUGACCCCAAACCUAUAAGAAAACUGGAUUACAAGCAGGGUGCUUGCCAGUUCAAGUUGUUGUGGAAUGAGUUCAAAAAGUGGAACAAGACUGAAGUAGAUCUCAGCUGUGUAAUUCUACAGAAGAGAGAAGAUAAAUCGAUUAAAACCUCAAAACCUAGCGAUGCUCGAAGACUUAUAGUGAGUGCAGAUCCAAUAAGAAAGCCCAGUGUUCAUGUGGAGAAGAUUGGGAAUUACCUCAAUCUUCGAUGUGAGGCCAAGGCUGGCACCUCAUGCUACUUUUAUCUGAACAAUGGUGACUCAAACUUCAAAAAACUACCCUUAAUUGACAAUGUCUGUGUGGGGAGAGUGGCAGAAGAGGAAAUGCAGAGGAAGAGGAGCAGUGCUGAAGAGAUCUUUAUCACCUGUUCUGUGGAGCUGUUGGUAGAGGGUGAAGAUACUGUGACAUCACAGCGUAGUGAAUCCCUCGGUAUCACCAUAGAUGGAGCUACGAGUUCCCCAUCAGAGUUCAGUUUAAUCAAACCUGUUCAGGAGGAGACAAGCAGCAAUGUCACAGCCCAAGGAAGAGUUUCUUCAGGUCCAGUGUUCCUCGUCAUCAUCAGUCUGGGUGCUGGUUCCCUUUUCCUGGUUCUGCUAGCUGGGUCUGUGCUGUGUGUUCUCCAACGCAAGUGUGGUGCGUGCUUUCACAUAGGUCUACUCAUAAUACAUUCUUAUUUUGUUCCAAAGGCUACUUUGAGUUAUUUUCAAAAUUGCUAAAUUAUCUCUAUGCAUCUUUUGAAGGGGUUCAAGGCAGGCAUGUAAAUACUGGGUAAGACUGGUGUAUUCAUUUUAGAUUCACAUAUUUUUUUCUUCAUUCAUGCACAGCUAUAUCUUUCUGACUGUACUGCAUUGUCUUGACAGAAGCCCACCUGAUCAGCAAGACCAAACCCCACCUUGUGUCUGUGAGUAUGAGAGUUAACUAAACCACCACUGCCUUUAUCUUCUUUUGUUCAGUGUUUUAUUAUCCAUCAUUCUCUCAUUUUAAACAGAUUCUGUCAUCACAAAGCCGUCUAGGAAUGAGGUGAGUUGGUUUGAACCAGUGCAGUGUGAAGUAGCCUACUAUGCACUUUACUUCCACGAUAUCAAGCAAUAUUGCCAAUAGCACCAAUGACAACCCUACUGUGCACACAGCUCAAAGUGACUUGAUCUCUCUCUUACAGGAAGAGGACAGUAGUCUGCAAUACGCUACUGUGACAUAUACCAGUGACCGAGCUAGUCUUCAAUAUGCAACAGUGACAUCUACCGGUAACCAAGUUGGACCUGGGCGCAGCAAGAUCAAGUUUGAAAUAGCUGGAGAGUACGCCCUCUUAGCAGAAUCAUAGAAGAAGAAACAUUUACUGGAUAACAUGUUUUGCCAUAGUUUACAGUUACAAUCCUAUCUUUUUUUCUUCAUAUUGGAUCAUAAUUUACUCAUAGCACAAAGAACACUGCCACAACAACAAAGAUAUCUACUAAUUUCUGAAAACAAGCAGCUUCAACUAUUUGCAUUUUAGGUUAAAUGAAAUAAAUGAAAAAUAAACUUUGUAUGAAACAUAGAAGAAAUAUUUUCCUAUAUUGAGUUACCCAAUCUAGUCAGCAGUCACCAAUCAGUAGUCACCAAUCUAUUUCACUCCUUGACAAGAGUCAAUAGAGACUCAAAUCCACAAGAGGGUAGAACACAUGUCAAACUUUGCUUGUUACAUCUCUACAUCUCUCUCUCCCUUUCUGAUCUCUCGCUUUCUACAUCUCUCUCUUUAACCUUGUCUGGUGUAUAUCAGUUUUCAGUGGUGGAAAAUUACUCAACUGUCAUACUUGAGGAAAAGUAAAGAUACCUUCAUAGAAAAUGACUCAAGUAAAAGUCACCCAGUAAAAUUCUACUAGAGUAAAACUCUAUAAGUAUUUGGUUUAAAAUUGUCACGACACCGACGGAUGGUGGCGCCCCUCCUCGGCCGGGCGGAGCUCGGCGGUCGUCGUCGCCGGCCUACUAGCUGCCAUCGAUCCUUUUUUGUUUCACUUUCUGUUGGUUAGGUCUAGGUAGGCACGCACCGGUUUUGGGUUAGUUAUUAGUAGGGGGGGUUAUUUAAUUUAGCGUAGGAUGUCUGUGUUUGUGCGUGAUUAUGUUUCUUGUCCAUUUCGUGUGCUUGAGGAACGUGUGCUGGUUUUCCUCUGCCUGUGGUUGGUUUCUUUGUGUUCACCACCGCAGAAGUAUUUAAGGGCUUCGUCCCUAUUUUUUGGCGACCAUAUCUACUUUCUGGAAUAAAGAAGUGUGGUCAAGAAUUCUCUGUCUCCUGCGCCUGACUCUACCUCUCCUGCUUUCUUGAGCCAGCCCGUGACAAAAAUAUACUUAAGUAUGAAAAAUAAAAGUAUAAAUAAUUUCAAAUUCCUUAUUUUAAGCAAACCAGAGUCCACCAUUUUCAUUUUUUUCUCUUUUUUUUUACGGAAUGCCAGGGGCACACUCCAACACUCAGCCAUCAUUUACAAACAAAUCAUGUCAGUUUAGUGAGUCCGCCAGAUCAGAAGCAGUAGGGAUGACCAGGGAUGUUCGGUUGAUAAGUCUGUGAAUGUCACUAUCUUCCUGGCCUGCUAAGCAUUCAAAAUGUAAUGAGUACUUUUGGGUCUCAAGGAAAAUGCAUGGAGUAAAAAGUACAAUAUUUUCUUAAGAAUGCAGUGAACCAAAAGGUAAAGUAGUCAAAAAUAUAAAUAGUAAAGUAUAGAUACCCCAAAAAGCUACUUAAGUAUUAUUUUAAAGUAUUUUUACUUAAGUACUUUACACCACUGUUAGUUUAAAAAAUAUGUUUUGUUAAUAAAAUGGUUUACUUACAGUAUGUGCCUUGACUUCCACCUGUUGAUACACCACCUCCAUAUUUCCUCUCUCUGCUUCCUGAUUUACAUAUCAAAUCAAAUCAAAUCUUCUUGGUCACAUACACAUGUUUAGCAGAUGUUAAUGUGAGUGUAGCGAAAUGCUUGUGCUUCUAGUUCCGACCAUGCAGUAAUAUCUAACAAGUAAUCUAACAAUUUCACAACAAAUUCCAUUUACACACAAGUGUAAAGGAAUGAAUNNNNNNNNNNNNNNNNNNNNGGUCCGUCCUGUGCCACCUCCCAGGACUAGGCCUCCAGUGGGUCUCCCCAUCCUGGUCCGUCCUGUGCCACCUCCCAGGACUAAGCCUCCAGUGGGUCUCGCCAGUCCGGAGCCGCCAGAGCUGCCCGCCAGUCCGGAGCCGCCAGAGCUGCCCGCCAGUCCGGAGCCGCCAGAGCUACCCGCCAGUCCGGAGCCGCCAGAG
rnacentral:lncRNA from 8 species